GACGUAGGGGGCAAGCGUUGUCCGGAUUCAUUGGGCGUAAAGAGCGUGUAGGCGGCCAGGUAGGUCGGUUGUGAAAACUGGAGGCUCAACCUUCAGAGGUCGACCGAAACCAUCUGGCUAGAGUCCGGGAGAGGAGAGUGGAAUUCCUGGUGUAGCGGUGAAAUGCGCAGAUAUCAGGAAGAACACCCGUGGCGAAAGCGGCUCUCUGGAACGGUGCUGACGCUGAGACGCGAAAGCGUGGGGAGCGAACAGG
rnacentral:rRNA from 1 species